AGUUUGAUCCUGGCUCAGAUUGAACGCUGGCGGCAGGCCUAACACAUGCAAGUCGAACGGUAACAGGAAGAAGCUUGCUUCUUUGCUGACGAGUGGCGGACGGGUGAGUAAUGUCUGGGAAACUGCCUGAUGGAGGGGAUAACUACUGGAAACGGUAGCUAAUACCGCAUAACGUCGCAAGACCAAAGAGGGGGACCUUCGGGCCUCUUGCCAUCGGAUGUGCCCAGAUGGGAUUAGCUAGUAGGUGGGGUAACGGCUCACCUAGGCGACGAUCCCUAGCUGGUCUGAGAGGAUGACCAGCCACACUGGAACUGAGACACGGUCCAGACUCCUACGGGAGGCAGCAGUGGGGAAUAUUGCACAAUGGGCGCAAGCCUGAUGCAGCCAUGCCGCGUGUAUGAAGAAGGCCUUCGGGUUGUAAAGUACUUUCAGCGGGGAGGAAGGGAGUAAAGUUAAUACCUUUGCUCAUUGACGUUACCCGCAGAAGAAGCACCGGCUAACUCCGUG
rnacentral:rRNA from 1 species